rnacentral:rRNA from 1 species
UUAAAUUGAAGAGUUUGAUCAUGGCUCAGAUUGAACGCUGGCGGCAGGCCUAACACAUGCAAGUCGAACGGUAACAGGAAGCAGCUUGCUGCUUCGCUGACGAGUGGCGGACGGGUGAGUAAUGUCUGGGAAACUGCCUGAUGGAGGGGGAUAACUACUGGAAACGGUAGCUAAUACCGCAUAACGUCGCAAGACCAAAGAGGGGGACCUUCGGG